rnacentral:rRNA from 1 species
UNUGACUUGAGUGCAGAAGGGGAGAGUGGAAUUCCAUGUGUAGCGGUGAAAUGCGUAGAUAUAUGGAGGANCACCAGUGGCGAAAGCGGCUCUCUGGUCUGUCACUGACGCUGAGGCUNGAAAGCGUGGGUAGCGAACAGGAUUAGAUACCCUGGUAGUNCACGCCGUAAACGAUGAGUGCUAGGUGUUAGGCCCUUUCCGGGGCUUAGUGCCGGAGCUAACGCAAUAAGCACUCCGCCUGGGGAGUACGACCGCAAGGUUGAAACUCAAAGGAAUUGACGGGGGCCCGCACAAGCGGUGGAGCAUGUGGUUUAAUUCGAAGCAACGCGAAGAACCUUACCAGGUCUUGACAUCCCGAUGCUAUUCUUAGAGAUAGGAAGUUACUUCGGUACAUCGGAGACAGGUGGUGCAUGGUUGUCGUCAGCUCGUGUCGUGAGAUGUUGGGUUAAGUCCCGCAACGAGCGCAACCCUUAUUGUUAGUUGCCAUCAUUAAGUUGGGCACUCUAGCGAGACUGCCGGUAAUAAACCGGAGGAAGGUGGGGAUGACGUCAAAUCAUCAUGCCCCUUAUGACCUGGGCUACACACGUGCUACAAUGGUCGGUACAACGAGUUGCGAGCCGGUGACGGCAAGCUAAUCUCUGAAAGCCGAUCUCAGUUCGGAUUGGAGGCUGCAACUCGCCUCCAUGAAGUCGGAAUCGCUAGUAAUCGCGGAUCAGCACGCCGCGGUGAAUACGUUCCCGGGCCUUGUACACACCGCCCGUCACACCACGAGAGUUUGUAACACCCGAAGUCGGUGAGGUAACCUUUUAGGGGCC